UCAGCAAUUCCAAGUUUGUAAGGCCCUGA
rnacentral:piRNA from 1 species